AUAUUGUACUAUGGGCGAAAGCCUGAUCCAGCCAUGCCGCGUGUGUGAAGAAGGUCUUCGGAUUGUAAAGCACUUUCAGUUGGGGGGAAGGGCAGUAAGUUAAUACCUUGCUGUUUUGACGUUACUGACAGAAUAAGCACCGUCUAACUUCAUGCCAGCAGCCGCGGUAAUACGAAGGGUGCAAGCGUUAAUCGGAAUUACUGGGCGUAAAGCGCGCGUAGGUGGUUUGUUAAGUAGGAAGUGAAAGCCCCGGGCUCAACCUGGGAACUGCUUUCAAAACUAGCAGGCUAGAGUAUGGCAGAGGGUGGUGGAAUUUCCUGUGUAGCGGUGAAAUGCGUAGAUAUAGGAAGGAACACCAGUGGCGAAGGCGACCAACUGGGCUAAUACUGACACUGAGGUGCGAAAGCGUGGGGAGCAAAC
rnacentral:rRNA from 1 species